GCAGUGGUGGUUCAGUGAUAGAACUCUCACCUUCCAGGUGGGACACCCAAGUUCAAUUCCCAGUCGAUGCA
rnacentral:tRNA from 1 species